rnacentral:snRNA from 1 species
AUGCUCACUUCAGCAGCACCUAUACCAAAAUUGGAAUGACAUAGAUUAGCAUGGUUCCUAUGCAAGGACAAUACCCAAAUUCAUGAAGCAUUUCAAAUAUUU